rnacentral:rRNA from 1 species
GGAUGCGAUCAUACCAGCACUAAAGCACCGGAUCCCAUCAGAACUCCGAAGUUAAGCGUGCUUGGGCGAGAGAAGUACUAGGAUGGGUGACCUCCUGGGAAGUCCUCGUGUUGCAUUCC